AUGCGAGCCCUCUGCUGUGUAGCCCUUUGUCUCCUGCGAAUAGAGCCCACAGAUGCUGGAGUCAUCCAGACACCCAGGCAUGAGGUGACAGAAAUGGGACAUGCAGUAACUCUGCGUUGUGAGCCGAUUUCAGGCCACACUGUGCUUUAUUGGUACAGACAGACCUCGGUGCAGGGAUUGGAGUUUCUGAUUUACUUCGUCAACCAAUCUCCUACAGACAAGUCAGGGAUGCCCAAGGACCGAUUCUCAGCUGAGAUGCCUAAAGCAUCAUUCUCCACUCUGAAGAUCCAGCCCACAGAACCCGGGGACUCGGCCACGUACCUCUGUGCCAGCAGAUAA